UGCAAGCGUUACCCGGAAUCAUUGGGCGUAAAGCGUCCGCAGGCGGUUAUUUAAGUUAAGUAUUAAAUCUUGAAGCCCAACUUCAAGGCUGUACUUAAAACUGGAUAACUAGAGACUUCCAGAGGCAUGUGGAAUUCUGUGUGUAGGGGUAAAAUCCGUAGAUACACAGAGGAACACCAAAAGCGAAGGCAGCAUGCUGGGGAAGUUCUGACGCUCAUGGACGAAAGCGUGGGGAGCGAACGGGAUUAGAUACCCCGGUAGUCCACGCCGUAAACUAUGGAUACUAGGUGUUGGGAGGCUCGACCCUCUCAGUGCCGACGCUAACGCAUUAAGUAUCCCGCCUGGGGAGUACGGUCGCAAGAUUAAAACUCAAAGGAAUAGACGGGGACCCACACAAGCGGUGGAGCACCUGGCUUAAUUCGAUAAUGAGCGAGGAACCUUACCUAGGUUUGACAUCCUGAGAAUUUUCUGGAAACAGAAAAGUGCCUUAUGGAACUCAGUGACAGGUGCUGCAUGGUUGUCGUCAGCUCGUGCCUUGAGGUGUUCGGUUAAGUCCGUAAACGAGCGCAACCCAUGUCCUGUGUUGUAUUUUUCACAGGAGACUGCCGAUUCAAAGUCGGAGGAAGGUAUGGAUGACGUCAAAUCAGCAUGGCCCUUAUACCUAGGGCUGCACAGGUGCUACAAUGGCUGGUACAAUGGGUAGCAAUCUCGCAAGAGGGAGCCAAUCCUCAAAACCAGUCUAAGUUCGAAUUGAUGGCUGCAACUCGCCAUCAUGAAGUUGGAAUCGCUAGUAACCGCGGAUCAGCAAUGGCGCGGUGAAUAUGUUCCUGGGUCUUGUACUCACCGCCCGUCACACUAUGAAAGGUGGGGGCACCCGAAGUACCCUUAGCUUCUAGCGGGGUCCUAAGGUGAAACCACUGAUUGGAGUGAAGUCGUAACAAGGUA
rnacentral:rRNA from 1 species